UACGGAGGGAGCGAGCGUUGUCCGAAGUUACUGGGCGUAAAGCGCGCGUAGGCGGGAAUUAAGUGAGAAGUGAAAGGCUGGGCUUAACCCCAUGCAGUGCUCCUCAUACUGGUUUCUUGAGGGUGGUAGAGAGAAGUGGAAUGGCUGGUGUAGCGGUGAAAUGCGUAGAUAUCAGUCGGAACACCAGUGGCGAAGGCUGGCUUCUUGGGC
rnacentral:rRNA from 1 species